UGGGGAAUAUUGCACAAUGGGAGCAAGCCUGAUGCAGCCAUGCCGCGUGUAUGAAGAAGGCCUUCGGGUUGUAAAGUACUUUCAGCGAGGAGGAAGGCGUUGUGGUUAAUAACCGCAGCGAUUGACGUUACUCGCAGAAGAAGCACCGGCUAACUCCGUGCCAGCAGCCGCGGUAAUACGGAGGGUGCAAGCGUUAAUGGGAAUUACUGGGCGUAAAGCGCACGCAGGCGGUCUGUCAAGUCGGAUGUGAAAUCCCCGGGCUCAACCUGGGAACUGCAUUCGAAACUGGCAGGCUAGAGUCUUGUAGAGGGGGGUAGAAUUCCAGGUGUAGCGGUGAAAUGCGUAGAGAUCUGGAGGAAUACCGGUGGCGAAGGCGGCCCCCUGGACAAAGACUGACGCUCAGGUGCGAAAGCGUGGGGAGCAAACA
rnacentral:rRNA from 1 species